rnacentral:rRNA from 1 species
GAUGAACGCUGGCGGCGUGCUUAACACAUGCAAGUCGAACGGGAAACCUUUUAUUGAAGCUUCGGCAGAUUUAGCUGGUUUCUAGUGGCGGACGGGUGAGUAACGCGUGGGUAACCUGCCCUAUACAGGGGGAUAACAACCAGAAAUGGUUGCUAAUACCGCAUAAGCGCACAGGACCGCAUGGUCCGGUGUGAAAAACUCCGGUGGUAUAGGAUGGACCCGCGUUGGAUUAGCCAGUUGGCAGGGUAACGGCCUACCAAAGCGACGAUCCAUAGCCGGCCUGAGAGGGUGAACGGCCACAUUGGGACUGAGACACGGCCCAGACUCCUACGGGAGGCAGCAGUGGGGAAUAUUGCACAAUGGGGGAAACCCUGAUGCAGCGACGCCGCGUGAAGGAAGAAGUAUCUCGGUAUGUAAACUUCUAUCAGCAGGGAAGAUAGUGACGGU